rnacentral:hammerhead_ribozyme from 1 species
AGCUGAUGAGUCCCAAAUAGGACGAAACGCGCAUCCU